rnacentral:lncRNA from 1 species
AGGAAAUCCGUGUUCAGCAACUAUGUUAAAUGCCAUGUACGUAAAUUUUACAACGCUACUCGUUCGAAGCGCGCACAGGUGCAUAUUGAAAAGUUUCCAGGGUAGAUAAUUUAGUUCGUAAUUUACACUAAUUUUGCUCUAACCACGAGACAUAAUAAUUUGAAUAUACUGCACGGAAAAACCUAGAGCGAAUUAAAUUGUCAGCUUCGUGUGUAUACAUAUAGUCUUCCCUAUGCAUUAGGUUUUUUGCGUAAUGCAUUAACAGUUGACAGCCUAUCUUAUGAUGUGUACUCUGUUUACAUUACAGUUGUUUAUUAGUUUACUCGUUUGUUUUGCGACUGAUGAAAUGCCGGCAUAUAUAUAUUUUCAACAUUUGACAUAACCCUGUAUGUUUUGCAGGGACAACCCAGGACGUGCAUUUCUCAGCACCCAGUCAACUGCGAAAAGUGACUCAAACACAGGCCACCAGUGGAACUCUGCUGUACCACUGCAGUGCUGCGGAAAUUGCCUUCACCAGCGGCUUUGCAACAGCUGUUUCGCAGCAUGUCGGAGACAAUGCCUACGAAAUUAUUGGCCCUGAUCAUGAGAGCCCUCAAGGGGCAAACAA